rnacentral:misc_RNA from 1 species
AAGAAACAUGGGUUUGUAAUUAUUAUAUCUCAUAUGGACUUCCAGAAAACCAGCCGCAGGAAUCAACAUUGAAUGAAGGGCAAGGCCCUAUCUAAUUUUGUGUUUGCUUUUCCAACUUCUAAGGCUGCAGGUGGAGCAAGAGCAGACAUGGGAACUCAGAUCGGGUGCAGCCUAACUAUGCUAUUCCAUUUAGGGUGUGACACGGGUGGGCAAGGCACAAGUGGACUGGUGUCCAACCGUCCAAGCCAACUGGUCAGACAACAACUACUU